rnacentral:rRNA from 1 species
UGCAGUCGAGCGGCAGCGGGAAAGUAGCUUGCUACUUUUGCCGGCGAGCGGCGGACGGGUGAGUAAUGCCUGGGAAAUUGCCCAGUCGAGGGGGAUAACAGUUGGAAACGACUGCUAAUACCGCAUACGCCCUACGGGGGAAAGCAGGGGACCUUCGGGCCUUGCGCGAUUGGAUAUGCCCAGGUGGGAUUAGCUAGUUGGUGAGGUAAUGGCUCACCAAGGCGACGAUCCCUAGCUGGUCUGAGAGGAUGAUCAGCCACACUGGAACUGAGACACGGUCCAGACUCCUACGGGAGGCAGCAGUGGGGAAUAUUGCACAAUGGGGGAAACCCUGAUGCAGCCAUGCCGCGUGUGUGAAGAAGGCCUUCGGGUUGUAAAGCACUUUCAGCGAGGAGGAAAGGUUGGCGCCUAAUACGUGUCAACUGUGACGUUACUC